UCCGGUGUGGUUUAGUUGGUUAUAAUACAUAUUUUAACACCGCUUGGCUCACCCCUUGCGGUACUAAAAGUUGAGACCCAAGUUCGAUCCUUGGCGCCGGAC